GACGUAGGGGGCCAGCGUUGCUCGGAAUUACUGGGUGUAAAGGGUUCGUAGGCGGUGUGGCAAGUCGGGAGUGAAAUCUCUGGGCUCAACUCAGAGUCUGCUUCCGAAACUGCUGUGCUGGAGUGUGGGAGAGGCGCGUGGAAUUGCAGGUGUAGCGGUGAAAUGCGUAGAUAUCUGCAGGAACACCCGUGGCGAAAGCGGCGCGCUGGACCACUACUGACGCUGAGGAACGAAAGCUAGGGGAGCAAACAGG
rnacentral:rRNA from 1 species